rnacentral:rRNA from 1 species
GUGUCAGCAGCCGCGGUAAUACGUAGGUGGCAAGCGUUGUCCGGAAUUAUUGGGCGUAAAGCGCGCGCAGGCGGGAUAUCAAGUCUGUCUUAAAAGUGCGAGGCUCAACCUCGUGAGGGGACGGAAACUGGUAUUCUUGAGUGUCGGAGAGGAAAGUGGAAUUCCAAGUGUAGCGGGGAAAUGCUUAGAGAUUUGGAAGAACACCAGUGGCGAAGGGGACUUUCUGGACGAUGUCUGACGCUGAGGCGCGAAAGCUGGG